rnacentral:rRNA from 1 species
GACGAACGCUGGCGGCGUGCUUAACACAUGCAAGUCGAACGGUGAAGCGCCUUCCUUUUUGGUGGGUGUGGAUGAGUGGCGAACGGGUGAGUAACACGUGAGUAACCUGCCCCCUUCUUCUGGAUAACCGCAUGAAAGUGUGGCUAAUACGGGAUAUUCUGGGUCUGUCGCAUGAUGGGUCUGGGAAAGAUAUUGUUUCGGUGGGGGAUGGGCUCGCGGCCUAUCAGCUUGUUGGUGGGGUGAUGGCCUACCAAGGCGGUGACGGGCAGCCGGCCUGAGAGGGUGGACGGUCACACUGGGACUGAGACACGGCCCAGACUCCUACGGGAGGCAGCAGUGGGGAAUAUUGCACAAUGGGCGCAAGCCUGAUGCAGCGACGCCGCGUGAGGGAUGGAGGCCUUCGGGUUGUGAACCUCUUUCGCCAGUGAAGCAGGCCUGCCUCGUUUGUGGGUGGGUUGACGGUAGCUGGAUAAGAAGCGCCGGCUAACUACGUG